CACACUCUGACGUUGAAACAGUUUCCAUGCAGAGCGCCCCCUCUCCGCCUCCCAGUGCCCCAGGUGCCUCAGGUGUAGAGGGACUGAAGAUUUUCGGGGGGCUAGCGGAAUGUCAGCACUACUACUAGUGCCCAUACGGCAGAAUGAACUGUUUCCAUGAAAACGGGGCCUAAGGAGUUGGCAUCCUUAUGACAGAACAGUAUUUUAAAAGUCAAGGAUGCCCUAAGAGCAUUUCAGAAAGAGAAGAUCACUUUGGGGUCCUCAAGAUGGCUCACUGGGUGAGGGCACAUCACCUCUAAGCAUGGCAACAGGGGUUCAGUGCCUGCACCCCACACUGAGGAAGGAGGAAACGGACUCCCUCAAAUCAUCAUCCGACCCCCACAUCUGAGCAAGAUCCGCCUCCCCCUCCAACACACGCA
rnacentral:lncRNA from 1 species